AACCAGGAUUCUGCCCAAAAUACCCUGCGAUGCUUGGAAGUCAUUGUCGCGGUGACAAUGGAUGCCCCGGAAAUGAAAAAUGCUGUUACUUUCGUAAUACAUGGUACUGUGUUUCUCCUACUGUCGAUUAGCACAAACUUUGUGGAAAACAUCUGUUCAUUCCUCACCGUCAUGAUGAUAAAGAUGGUGAAUGCAGCUGCAAGAAGAAGUGCUCUCUAAACAGAUGUGAAAACACCUGUAAACAA